rnacentral:rRNA from 1 species
AACGACUCUCGACAACGGAUAUCUCGGCUCUCGCAUCGAUGAAGAACGUAGCGAAAUGCGAUACUUGGUGUGAAUUGCAGAAUCCCGUGAACCAUCGAGUCUUUGAACGCAAGUUGCGUCCGAAGCCACUAGGCUGAGGACACGCCUGCCUGGGUGUCACGC